AAGGUGGCUUCGGCUACCACUUACAGAUGGACCCGCGGCGCAUUAGCUAGUUGGUGAGGUAAUGGCCCACCAAGGCGACGAUGCGUAGCCGACCUGAGAGGGUGAUCGGCCACACUGGGACUGAGACACGGCCCAGACUCCUACGGGAGGCAGCAGAAGGGGAUCUUCCGCAAUGGACGAAAGUCUGACGGAGCAACGCCGCGUGAGUGAUCGAAGGUUUUCGUAUCGUAAAGCUCUGUUGUUAGGGAAGAACAAGUACCGUUCGAAUAGGGCUGUACCUUGUCUGUACCUAACCAGAAAGCCACGGCUAACUACGUGCCAGCAGCCGCGGUAAUACGUAGGUGUCAAGCGUUGUCCGGAAUUAUUGGGCGUAAAGGGCUCGCAGGCGGUUUCUUAAGUCUGAUGUGAAAGCCCCCGGCUCAACCGGGGAGGGUCAUUGGGAAACUGGGGAUCUUGAGUGCAGAAGAGGAGAGUGGAAUUCCACGUGUAGCGGUGAAAUGCGUAGAGAUGUGGAGGAACACCAGUGGCGAUGCCGCUCUCUGGUCUGUACUGACGCUGAGAGCCGAAAGCGUGGGGAGCGAACAGGAUUAGAUACCCUGGUAGUCCACGCCAUAAACGAUGGAGUGCUGAGUUGUUAAGUG
rnacentral:rRNA from 1 species